ACCAGCAGAUAUAAUUAUUUCACUAUCUCUGUUAUUGUUUAGAAAUGCCUGGUGAAGUCUCCCAUUCUCAUCAGCGAAUUGGACUCCGAUAGCCCUUGGCUUCAGUCGUCCUGCAUCAGAAAUGAUGUUUCUGAAAAAGUAAAAAAAGUGGAUUCAUUUGGGUAAAAAUCUCCUUGUUUGUCAUGCACGGAGGGAGUUAUCACACCCAGCAUAAACAAUGAUGGUGCAGAAUAUAUCAUGCAUCCAACGCAUUGCAUACCUUGAGCUGGCCCGGCUGUAGAAGCCGGCAUUGAUGCAGGUGCCGCCACCCAACACCCUCGCCCGGGCAUUGAUGACGCCGUCGGUGGAGACGAAGACCUGAGCCGGUGAGUCCGGCGCCAUAUUCAUCAGCCCAAUGUGGAAGUUCUCCAUGUACGAGAUGUUGCGGUUGCCAUACGGAGACCCUCCCCUCUCCAGCAGCAGCACCUUGUACUUCAGAGACAGCGUCGCUGCCAGGGGGCAGCCGGCAGUGCCCCCGCCGACGAUGAUGUAGUCGUACGCCCCCGGCCGCGCCGUGGGGAAGCUACUGGCCUUCUGGAGGGGAGGUAGGUUCCUUAAGGUGAACUGCUUCUUGCCUGUAAGGACGAGCGUUACACACUGUCGACAUUACCUGAAACUGUGCCUGCUUUGUUCUGCUGUAAGUUUGCUAAUUUAUCUUAUGUCUGCCUAUUGAGUCUAACAAAAUAUUAGUUUUUGAUCUAAUUGAGCUUACGUGCACCCUGACAUCAGGCUCUGACAUUAUACCAACCAAGAUGGGAUAACAAAUGGUCAGCCACUUCAGCAUUCUCAAACGACAGCAGAGUAAACAAAUUCAGGUGACAACAAAAACGCGGCAACUAAAAUGUCAGAAGAUGAAAGUCACACGUAUAAGAGAGUGAUUCUGAGGAAUUCGGGAGGAAAAAAGAAAGCAAAAUCUGGGAAAUGUAACUGCAGCAUUGCUAAGAGAAUGAUCUUUCAGUAUAGCAGCUUCUCCAUUGGCAAAACCUCUGCUGCUCAAAGCCAUUGAACCUCGGGAUAAUCUGAAGAAGAAGAAGGGCGCACCUUGGGAAAACCCGAAGAAGCAGAGGCACGCCAAGACCUUGAACAAGAACACCGCUCUCCUGCUCAAAGCCGCCAUUGAACCCUGAGAAGCACCUGCCGAGCAGACGGCGGCAAUGGAGGACUGAAGGCAACGAAGUGUUGAGCCUGCAUUGAAGAGAGCUCACCAACUGCAAUAAGGACCAUUAAAUGCAGAGGGAGCACUGGCCUUGUACAACCAGGAUUUAUGGAGUUCAUCAACCAACC